rfam:Myotis davidii contig220501, whole genome shotgun sequence.
GGCGGUUCUCAGGUGAUGCACCCCAGAAUUGGGCUCCCUCCUCUCUGGUUCUGGGUGUGUCACCCAAGAACCUCA